rnacentral:rRNA from 1 species
GUGGGGAAUAUUGCACAAUGGGGGAAACCCUGAUGCAGCGACGCCGCGUGAGUGAAGAAGUAUUUCGGUACGUAAAGCUCUAUCAGCAAGGAAGAAAAUGACGGUACUUGACUAAGAAGCCCCGGCUAACUACGUGCCAGCAGCCGCGGUAAUACGUAGGGGGCAAGCGUUAUCCGGAUUUACUGGGUGUAAAGGGAGCGUAGACGGUAUGGUAAGUCAGAUGUGAAAGCCCGGGGCUCAACCCCGGGACUGCAUUUGAAACUAUCAGACUAGAGUGCAGGAGAGGUAAGUGGAAUUCCUAGUGUAGCGGUGAAAUGCGUAGAUAUUAGGAGGAAUACCAGUGGCGAAGGCGGCUUUCUGGACUGACCCUGACGCUGAGGUGCGAAAGCGUGGGUAGCAAACAGGAUUAGAAACCCCAGUAGUCC